rfam:Danio rerio chromosome 24, GRCz11 reference primary assembly.
GCCGGCAGCUAGCUCUCUGCAACUCUCACAUGGUCGCCCACUGAAGCUAAGCAGGGCUGCGCCCGGUCAGUAUCUGGAUGGGAGACCACAUGGGAAAGCUAGGUUGCUGCCGGAA